ensembl:scaRNA
UUGUCCUGGCCUUUGCUUUUUCUGCUUCCCUGUACUCAGUUCUAACAGGGGAGUCUGGCAGGACACACAGCAAUCUCCCUCUCAGUUUAGGAGGGCUGUCCUAAGAAUAGGGCUGGCUCUUAAAGGCACGAGAGGACAGU